GAUGAACGCUGGCGGCGUGCUUAACACAUGCAAGUCGAACGGGAAAUAUUUCAUUGAGACUUCGGUGGAUUUGAUCUAUUUCUAGUGGCGGACGGGUGAGUAACGCGUGGGUAACCUGCCUUAUACAGGGGGAUAACAGUCAGAAAUGGCUGCUAAUACCGCAUAAGCGCACAGAGCUGCAUGGCUCAGUGUGAAAAACUCCGGUGGUAUAAGAUGGACCCGCGUUGGAUUAGCUUGUUGGUGAGGUAACGGCCCACCAAGGCGACGAUCCAUAGCCGGCCUGAGAGGGUGAACGGCCACAUUGGGACUGAGACACGGCCCAGACUCCUACGGGAGGCAGCAGUGGGGAAUAUUGCACAAUGGGGGAAACCCUGAUGCAGCGACGCCGCGUGAAGGAAGAAGUAUCUCGGUAUGUAAACUUCUAUCAGCAGGGAAGAUAGUGACGGUAC
rnacentral:rRNA from 1 species